rnacentral:rRNA from 1 species
AAUAUUGGACAAUGGGCGAAAGCCUGAUCCAGCCAUGCCGCGUGUGUGAAGAAGGUCUUCGGAUUGUAAAGCACUUUAAGUUGGGAGGAAGGGCAUUAACCUAAUACGUUAGUGUUUUGACGUUACCGACAGAAUAAGCACCGGCUAAUUUCGUGCCAGCAGCCGCGGUAAUAGGAAGGGUGCAAGCGUUAAUCGGAAUUACUGGGCGUAAAGCGCGCGUAGGUGGCUCGUUAAGUUGGAUGUGAAAGCCCCGGGCUCAACUUGGGAACUGCAUCCAAAACUGGCGAGCUAGAGUACGGUAGAGGGUGGUGGAAUUUCCUGUGUAGCGGUGAAAUGGGUAGAUAUAGGAAGGAACACCAGUGGGGAAGGCGACCACCUGGAUUGAUACUGACAUUGAGGUGGGAAAGCGUGGGGAGCAAACAGGAUUAGAUACCCUGGUAGUCCACGCCGUA